UACAGAGGUCUCAAGCGUUGUUCGGAUUCAUUGGGCGUAAAGGGUGCGUAGGCGGCGCGGUAAGUCGGGUGUGAAAUCUCGGGGCUUAACUCCGAAACUGCAUUCGAUACUGCCGUGCUUGAGGACUGGAGAGGAGACUGGAAUUUACGGUGUAGCGGUGAAAUGCGUAGAUAUCGUAAGGAAGACCAGUGGCGAAGGCGGGUCUCUGGACAGUUCCUGACGCUGAGGCACGAAGGUCCAGGGGAGCAAAACGGGG
rnacentral:rRNA from 1 species